CAGAAGAUAGUUUAAUUUAGAAUUCUGGCUUUGGGAGCCAGGGGUGGGAGUUAAAAUCUCCUUUUUCUG
rnacentral:tRNA from 3 species